rnacentral:misc_RNA from 1 species
AUAAAUCACAGGAAAAGCUUUCCAUAGAUUCUCUAUUUAUGCUUUUUGAUCAUCACAUAUCAUCAAAAAAGGAUCAAUAUAGCAUAAUAGCUUAAUUAGUAGGGUGAUCAAGAUCAUAUAUAUUCAUCAUCUUUUCCAUCCCCUUCUUUUACCUCUCCAUUUUCUAUCUCAUGCAUGUCUAGUUCAAGAGGCUCAAGGUGUUGAGGGACUUCGUAGGAGAGAUUUUGGGCUGUGGAGUUUGAGGGGUAGGAAGGGAAUGGACAUACUUGCAGUUAGGGCAAGAAGGAGAGGAUCUUGAGAGUAUGACAAGAAGAUGACAAUUCAAGCAAGCCAAUGCUACCAUAUUAUUGUUGCUGCAGCUUGAAGAGGCUUGGAGCUUCUUCGAGUAUUCUUCAAGUGACGAACUAUUAAUAUAAUUAGAUCUUCUGCAUUGCUGAUGAUGAUCAGGACAAUCAGAGAGUGGUGAAAUGUUGAGUUCAAGGUCAAGCUUUUGAUCCACGUUGGGCCAGUUCCAACUCUUUCUUAAGGUCUUCCUGUUCAGAUAAUACAUUUUGCCUGACUGCAAACAAAAAUUAACAAUAAAUAUAGAUAUUUUAUGUAGGCAAAGAUCAAAAUUUUUAAGUGAAUUUGAAUCUAAUCAAAGCCAAACGAACUUUAAAAAAAGAAUUCUGUGUUUGUUUGAGAGAGAGACCUCAAGAUCAAGGCAUUGCUCCCAAUCCGGAGGGAGAGGGUCCUUAACAUGAAGAUCAACAAUACUUGUCUGGAAUGGUGGUACAGCGCUCCUGAGCAGGUGAUGAUCUGAGAAGAACUUCCUCUUCCUGCUGCUACUGCUGGAACUGGCAAAGUUAUUUUCAGAUUCUGAAGAUGAGUUAUUCAACUGUGAUGGAGCCAAGGAAAGCUCUGUCAAUUCCAUUAUCCCUCCAAAAAGAUGUUGCCCUUUUGCAGAUUCAAUAAUAUUCCACUAUAUUAAAAUGUCCCUAUCACCUCUAUCCCUCCCUACACACAGCUUUUGCUUUCCAUUAUUCUGGUUUUCAAGGUUGAGGAAAGAGAGAAGAGUGAAGAGAAGAAAAAAGAAGAGAACCCAAUUGAGGAUUGUGAACAAGAAGAAUAUGUAGUGUAGAACAUACCCAAUUCCUCUCUUUUGGAUUUUCUAGAGUCAUGCAAGAGAGGGAG